GGGCGUCUAGCUCAGUGGUAGUAGCGCUCGCUUUGCAUGUGGAUAGAACACUUGUUUGAUUGCGAGAGGUCGAGCGUUCGAUCCGCUCGUCGUCCA